AACGCACCUUGCGCUCCCUGGUAUUCCGGGGAGCACACCUGUUCGAGUGUCGUGAAAUUCUCAAGCUGGGAUGGCUUUAUUGUCUGUCUCAGUUUGGAUUUGGACUCUGCUGUGUUAUUACGGCUGGUCUUAAAGGCAUUAGCUGAAUCUUGGUUAUGAGAUUGGUUCUACUCAGCGUGAUAAUUAUCUGACCGCUGAGGACAUCUUUCGGGAUGGCCAGACUUGUCCUCGAGUCGCUUCUAAUUUGGUUAAGCAGUUUACUGUUUCCACUUUUCAACUUUGACCUCGAAUCAGGUGGGACUACCCGCUGAACUUAA
rnacentral:misc_RNA from 1 species